rnacentral:lncRNA from 1 species
AAAAUAUAAAUUGUUGAGCCAAUAGCGAAAUAUCUCGUGGUCUCUGGAGAGUAGGACACCAACAAUUUAGGGUGAUUCUUUUCUUAGCUUUCAUUAGCAAGCUUUCAAAUACAGUACAUAAGUACUUAGAUGCUACAACACAUUACAUUUUCUUUACAAUACAUUAAUUAAUUGCAAUACAUUAAUGUUUCCUUAAGAGUUUUAAAACAGUUAUCAUUGAGCUAGCACAGCAUUUUCUUUUCCUCUUUUUAGGACUAUCAUGCUAAAGAUCAGCUUACAUGAAUACAGCAUCUUGAUCUCCGCCCAUGACGUAUGGGGAAGAGAUGUGCGUUUAUAUGGGUCAAAGUUUCCCGAAAGUGAGAACCUGUUGCAGAGCCACUUCAGAUCAUCUGAGAAAGCAGAGCAUAGGUCACCGGCUUCUCUUGCAAACGUCUGUUAGUAAAUGUCAAAUGCAAAGUGGGGACCAGGAAGGGAUGGAGCCAGUACCAAGUUCAUUUGUGUUGAGAAGAAUUAGCAUCAAAAGGUAGACCUGUGUUCUUGGGGUUGGAGGAGAGGAAGCAAAACUGGUUAACCAGAGCACAGGAAGGAAGGCUAUGCCAUGUGCUUAGUGUUCACAAGCAGUUUAAUGUAAAUGUAGGGGAAUUUCAUACCAUGUUUUAGUCUGUGUCUGACCUGAGUGGGACCUUAGAAGAAGCUCCUGUGGCACUGUGGCUCACUUGGAUGUAAUUUAUGGGGAAAAUACCUUAAAAGCCGUUUUACUUUUUUUUUUUUAAUUUUUUGAAUUCUGAAGUUGUCAGGUAUGUAAUUUUGGUGCAUUGCACUAAUUGACAAAUCGUUAUGAAACUACUGUUUUCUAGAACGGUGUCUGAUAAACCAAUUCUGAGUCAUGCCGAUUCUGAACUGCAUAAUCACUGAGCUCAAAGACUAGGGCACGAAACAAGUAGGAGAGAAAAGAGUUUUCUCUUUUUGAUACUUUAUGUGUCUGAGUGCUGUACCUGCAUCCAUGUGUGUACCGUGUGCUGGCAGAGAUCAGAAUGCAUCAGAGUCCUAUAGAACAAGAAUUACAGAUGGUUGUUAGCCUCGGCGUAGAUGGUUUGAACUGUGUCUGGUCCUCUGCAAUGGCAUAGCCACUGAGCCAUCCCUCCAGUCCCAGAAAAGAGUUUUUUAAAAAAAUUAACAACUUUAACUCAAAACAUUCUACUUUUAAUACUUUUAUAUCUUAUGUGCAUGACACAAAUGGUAACAGAAACAUCAAUUUGAAUCAAAGAGACUGAACUUAAAUCUAGUUUAUGUGCACUCUUGAUGAAGUGUGCUUCUGCAUGUAGACAAAGUAGAGUAACUAAUAUGUUACUAGGCUGAGUCCUUCAGGUUACAAACACUGUUGCUUGCUGUCUACUUGCAUACAGAAUUGUGGACUCCCAAAUGAAAGUAUUUAUGUUCUGAAAUAAAGAAUGCUUUUUUGGCU